rnacentral:tRNA from 1 species
GACAAAUUGGCCGAGCGGUUAAGGCGAUAGACUCGAAAUCUAUUGGUUACUAUGCUAUGCUUUAACUUCUCG